rnacentral:lncRNA from 1 species
CCGAGGCUAUGGGGGGAACCGGUUCGAGUCCAGGAGUGGGGGCUACGGAGGCUCCAGAGACUACUAUAGCAGCCGGAGUCAGAGUGGUGGCUACAGUGACCGGAGCUCGGGCGGGUCCUACAGAGACAGUUAUGACAGUUACGGUAAGUCACACUCCGAGGGCGCCACGCUGCUGUGGCCUGCGGUGGGAGCUCGGUUCACCUUGGUGCCCUCUCCAAGCACUUUAGGCUGGACACUCAGACCUUGUCACUGUGCUUGCCCAGAAGAGGCGCAUCUGUCCUCAGAGCCAUUUCUAUCGCAGGAUGCAAAAGCCAAAUGAGACUGACCAAAAAGGCAAGGGAGAGCGAGGGCCCGCUGGGCAGUCAGCUAGGUGCAUGUGUGGCCACAGGCCAGCCUCCCUCGGCUGUGGGGGGUGGUUGCUCCCCGGCCGCAGGCCGCGCCCUGGUCUGGCCUCUGGGGUGAAGCUGCCUCUCGUUGCUUCGGUGCCUUUACACUGUGCCUGCUUCUUGUCCUCAGCUACACACAACGAGUAAAAACCCUUCCUGCUCAAGAUCGUCCUUCCAAUGGCUGUGUGUUUAAAGAUUGUGGGAGCUUCGCUGAACGUUAAUGUGUAGUAAACGCACCUCCUUGUAUUCCCACUUUCGUAGUCAUUUCGGUUCUGAUCUUGUCAAACCCAGCCUGACCGCUUCUGACGCCGGGAUGGCCUCGUUACUAGACUUUUCUUUUUAAGGAAGUGCUGUUUUUUUUGAGGGGUUUCAAAACAUUUUGAAAAGCAUUUACUUUUUUGACCACGAGCCAUGAGUUUUCAAAAAAAUCGGGGGUUGUGUGGGUUUUUGGUUUUUGUUUUAGUUUUUGGUUGCGUUGCCUUUUUUUUUUUAGUGGGGUUGGCCCCAUGAAGUGGGUGCCCCAUUCACUUCUCUGAGAUCGAACGGACUGUGAAUCCGCUCUGUCGGAAGCUGAGCAAGCUGUGGCUUUUUUCCAACUCCGUGUGACGUUUCUGAGUGUAGUGUGGUAGGACCCCGGCGGGUGUGGCAGCAACUGCCCUGGAGCCCCAGCCCCUGCGUCCAUCUGUGCUGUGCGCCCCACAGUAGACGUGCAGACGUCCCUGAGAGGUUCUUGAAGAUGUUUAUUUAUAUUGUCCUUUUUUACUGGAAGACGUACGCAUACUCCAUCGAUGUUGUAUUUGCAGUGGCUGAGGAAUUCUUGUACGCAGUUUUCUUUGGCUUUACGAAGCCGAUUAAAAGACCGUGUGAAAUGAACCUUGCUCUGACAAUUCCCUUGCAUUGCACCACACACUCCUUGCUGCGGGCUCCUGCAGCCAGACCUGAGCAGAGAGAGAAGGUGGAGAAGCAGUGGGUCUGCAAGCCUUGCCUGGGGCCUGCAGAGCUAGAAAGGGAGGCCCAGCAGACUGGCGCUGGUCAGGGUAGGGGAGCCAGGCGGGGGACGGGAGCGGGCAGCUCAGGCCUCAGGGCAGCCCUGGGAGGCUUCUGGCAGUGGUGGCCAGAGGGCUGGACUGUGCGGGCAGCUUAACAGGGACAGUGGACGUGCACCUGACGCUGACCUGGACUGCCUCAGUCUAGAAGCAGGCCAGAGAGCAGAGGCACGUGGCAUCUCAGGGCGACCUCAGACGGCCAGCCGGUUAGCUAGUUCUGCUGUUGCUUCACGAGUUCUGAGCAUUCUCUGCUAGCCUAUGGAAGCUGCAGCCCUCGGAGGACAGAAGUGUUGUGCGCCCAACAGAACCCUCUGAGACGCAAGCUGCUCCCUUGGCUAGCUCAUAUGUGGAAAUAGCCCUGUAAUUCGAGGUAACUCCUUCCGCUCGUGUCCACAUCCCUCUUGUUGAGAGCUCACUGAAAGUCAUGUGCCCGGGGAAUGUUCCUGUGACUGUUUUUUGUUUUUCCUUUUUUUUUUUUUAACUUUUUGUUUUUUUCAAUUAAGCUGGAACUAAAGUCAGGCCCGGCCAUUACGCUCCCCACGUGCAGCCAGGUGCAGCCUGGGCCCAGUCAUGCCUGGCUCAUAGAUGAGAUCCCUUAAGCAGGAUUGGAGACCAGUGAACACCCCCGCCUUUUGGAUUUUUUGCUCAUCAAUUGACCGUCUUUUCCAGACCUCUUAAGUCACACUCUUAGCUUUCUCUGAUGUCUGUUGCCGCCAUUAGUUUUUUUCUAGAGCCCACACUGGCCCACAUAGCUCCAUCCCAUACGGGUAGCUGGCUCCAGCUGCGCCACGGUGCAGACCCGCCCUGGGCAUGCUGGCCUGUGACGGAGCCUGAGGUCACAGCCCCCUGACUAGCCUGAGACCUUCCUAGGGGCUGUGGCUGUUUCCGGGGAGGCCGGGAGGGGCAGCUGUGAGCCCCAUGGAGGACGUCGGGAGUAACGCUGCUUUGCUUUGGCAGGUUGAAGGGGCCCGGCCAGGACUCGGGGAAGGGUGGCCUGAGAGCAGCGAUGACCUCUGGGGUCACUGUCCCAGGAGGGACUUCACCUGGAACGAGAGCUGGAGGCAGCCGCUUGCCCAGGAGGCUUGUCCCCUGAGGCGCUUCGCCAGUGAGGUGCGGGCUCAGGGCCUCGAGUCUCUCCUGGAGCACGGGCUGCGGUGCGCUGGCAGCUUACGGGGCGGCCAGUCCUUGCCCACAACGAUGUGGAGCCCUGUGAAAGUCGGAUUCGAAUAAAGGGCCACGUGUGCACCCACA